rnacentral:misc_RNA from 1 species
GUGAAUCAUCGAAUUUUUGAACGCAAAUUGCACUCUCCGGUUUUCCGGGAGAGUAUGCCUGUUUGAGGGUCUGUUUAAAAAAUAAUCGAGGCUGCUGCUGUGGUGGCUCUUCGGAAUUGGGUCAUCUUUCACCUUUCGGUUGUAAGCGACCUAAAAUUUUUUUUACGAUUGCUACGAAGUGUUCUAAUAAUUUCUUGUAAGUUUCCUAAAUUGAAAUCAUCUUAGGGGAUACCGCC